rnacentral:misc_RNA from 1 species
AGAGAGACGACGAAAGAACAAACCCUAGCUUCAUAGUUUCUGGAGAACCAAUUUGAAUCAGUGUUGAGAGGGUGGCGAAGUGAUGAAUCGGAAGCUGGGAAGUGGAAAUCUACGACAGAAAGCAAGUGGGAUUUUAUAAUAGAAAAUGAUUGCUUCGCAAGGAGCAUUUGUACAUGUGCUGAGAUGACUUUUACUGAAUUACAAAGUUAUAUAGCUUCAUUGUUUCACUUUGAUGCGAAGACCUGGAAACAAAACUUGAGUUAUUGGCUUCCAAAGCAGAGGUCAAUCUUUUCUGCACGGAAAAGGCCUCCAGUCUGUUUGAAUAACACCAUGGCGUUGAAGAGCUUCAUGAUGGUUAAGGAAAUGGAGCCACGUUUAAACUUGUGCCUCUCCUUUGAGGCCAUGCAGGAUGAUGAACCCUAGAAACAACUUGUUUGUGAGCUUGGGGAAAGUUCUAACAAUGGCAAAGACGACGCAACCAUCCUUGAAAAUGUACUUACUGAGUUCAGAAUUGUUAAGGAUAAUGACUGCACCAACCAACUAGAACUUGAUCUUAUGUAAUAGGACCAAAAAACAAAAAUCGUGAGUGGAUGUAUAAUUAUAUAGAUGAAGGUAUUGGAGAAUUAUUAAAGGAAUUUAACGAAGGUCUUGUUGAUUUAUGCGUUUUGCUGCAAAUCAAGAGAUUCCAUUAGAGUGUGGUAAGAUGUAUUAUCCUUAU